CAUCUUUGUUGGGAUCCUGGCUCUCUCUUUUGCCUUCUCCGUUCUCCCCUUCCCCUAAAAGCCAGCAGCGAGUAGAUAAAAGCUCGGGUCGGUUGUGGUGAGUGGUGACACUGGCCUUCUUACCCUUUGCUUCUCUUCUCUGCCGCUAGGGAGGCGCUGACACUGUUCCUCUUCCCUCCUCCUGCUCUCUCCCCAUGUCCUCCUCCUCCGGUCCUCGGCGGCCAUGACUGCUGCGGCCUCUUUCGUCCGUGCCUGCGCGCUGCAUGGCUGCUGCCAGCUCUAGAUACACACUCCUAGCUAGGCAGCUGUUGCCUUCACCUGCUGCCGCGCGCUGCUCGAUCGACUGCACGUCUUCACAGUUCACACCACAGAGUAGAGUGGAGAGAGAAAGCCAAGAAGCCGGCAGGGGAGAGUAGGGAGAGAGAGAGGGGGAGGAGUCGUAUGAUAGAAAGAAUCUGGAAUUGCUUUCCCUCUCGUUUUGUCCCCCCUGCGCCUCCUUGAUUAUUGUGUUGCUUGCUGUUCCUCCCUGCCUGCUUGCUCCCUGCUUCGGCUUGGAGGCCUUCUCAUGCAUCAACCUCCUUAGCAUCUCUCUCCCCCUCUCCCAUACAUACCCCCUUGUCUGAUGCCUGCUUCUGCUUGCCCCAUCCUCCUUCAUCCUUCACGAGUUCGUCUCUCGAUUUAUUGUCUGCCACACCUCCCUUCAGCUAGCUAUCUUCCCCUAGCUAGCUAGGUACCAGUAGUGUGUGUAUAUAUAGAUAGAUUUAUAGAUAUAGACACACACAACAAGUGCAAGAUCAGGCGAAAGCUACUAGCCGCCCUUGCAGUCUUGGACUCCAUUCGUCGUCGUCCUUGGGUUCUCCUCCUCACCUAGCUACUAUGUUCCACCAUCAGCAGGAGCUCUUGCAGGCAGAAGCUGCAGCGGCAGAUCGGGAGAGCAGCAUGUCCAACCUCACCUCCUCCACGUCCGGCGGCCCCAACGCGGCGCCUGCUGCUGCUGCUGCUGCCCCGCCGGCGCCCGCGGCCUCCGGCAACAACAAGCGGAAACGGAGCCUCCCAGGCAACCCCGACCCCGAGGCGGAGGUCGUGGCUCUCUCCCCGGCGACGCUGAUGGCGACGAACCGUUUCGUGUGCGAGAUCUGCGGGAAGGGGUUCCAGCGGGACCAGAACCUGCAGCUGCACCGGCGCGGCCACAACCUGCCGUGGAAGCUGAAGCAGCGCGGCACGGGCAAGGAGGCGCAGCGGAGGAAGGUGUACGUGUGCCCCGAGGCGUCGUGCGUGCACCACGACCCCGCCCGCGCGCUGGGCGACCUCACCGGCAUCAAGAAGCACUUCUUCCGCAAGCACGGCGAGAAGAAGUGGAAGUGCGACAAGUGCUCCAAGAAGUACGCCGUCCACUCCGACUGGAAGGCGCACUCCAAGAUCUGCGGCACCAGGGAGUACAAGUGCGACUGCGGCACCAUCUUCUCCAGGCGGGACAGCUUCAUCACGCACCGCGCCUUCUGCGACGCGCUCACCGAGGAGAGCGCCAAGGCCAUCGGCCUCAACGCCAUGGCGGCCGUGCCGGCGCAGCACCACCACCACCCGAUGCUCUUCUCGCCGCCGCCCACGCACGUCAUGCAGCAGGACGUCGCCCUCCUCCAGGAGCACCACCACCAGGAGGUCAUGCAGCAGGAGCACUGCAACUACGCCAUGAAGACGGAGAUGCCGCCGUGGCCGGGGAUGACCUACGACCACCCGCUGCUGCAGCCGCUCUGCAACGCCGCCGCACCGCAGAGCUCGGCCACGUCCACGCCGCCGCCGCCGACGACGAUGCAGCUUCCCGCUGCCUACGCGCACCUAUCGGCCACGGCGCUGUUGCAGAAGGCGGCGCAGAUGGGCGCCACCGUCGCCGGCGCGGGCUACACCCAGAUGGCGGGGGCCGCGACAAGCGCCACCUUCGGCCUCGGCCUCCCGGACCUGCAGAAUACCCAGCAGCAGCAGCAUCAGGACGGCGAGAUCAUGGCCGGGCUCGCGAGGACAGCCUCCCACGGCCGCGGCGGCGAGGAAGGCGGCGGCGGCGGAGGCGACGGCAUGACCAGGGAUUUCCUAGGCCUGCGCGCCUUCUCCCACCGCGACAUCCUCGGCCUCGCCGGCUUGGACUCCUCGUGCAUGGGCGCCAUCAUCAGUGCCAGCGCCAGCAUGAACUGCUACGACGAGCCACAGCAGCGUGCACAGGCUCAGGCAGAGCAGCAGCAGCAAAGCAGCAACGAGCAAUGGCACAGCAUGGGCAGCCAUCAAAGCUAGGUCGAUAAAAGCUACUUUCUUCUUCCUCUCGCCAGCCGUCAUCGGAUAUCAUCUCAUGCAUGUGGUAACCACGCAAGCGAUCAAACCGUUCCGAUCAAACUCUAGCCCGGUCCAAGGAUGGUGAUGACAGAUUGGUGAUACAGAGAUGACAAUGGCAGGAAGAUGCAUCCACGAUCUUCAUUCAAGGCCUUCUUGGAGGUGGUUAAAUGGAGAAGUGUUCCCUGGGAGGAUGUUGAAAUGGAUGCUAUCCAUUCUUUGCAGUUAAUAUUACGUGACUCCCUGCAAGAUGAAGAUGCCAACAGAAACAACAUCAGGUCCAUUGUAAAAGCUCCAUCUGAUGAUAUGAAGAAGAUACAGGGGCUACUUGAACUAAGAACAGUUACAAACGAGAUGGUCCGCUUAAUUGAGACAGCAACUGCCCGUGUCUUGGCUGUUGACAUUGCUGGUAACAUAAAUGGAUGGAACAAAAAAGCUGCAGAACUAACAGGGUUACCUGUAAUGGAAGCCAUAGGGAGGCCUCUGAUAGAUCUUGUUGUUGCUGAUUCUGUUGAAGUGGUUAAGCAGAUUUCGGACUCAGCUUUACAAGGAAUUGAAGAGCAAAAUCUGGAAAUCAAGCUUAAAACAUUCCAUGAACAGGAGUGUUGUGGUCCAGUAAUCUUGAUGAUUAACUCCUCCUCUUAAACCAACCUCAGUCAAUACUCAAGUUAAGUUGUCAAGAGGCCUCCCUAAUGGAAGGUACAUACCACCACCUCAAGCAUAAUGAUACGCCACACCGAUAUGAACAAGACAGUCCAACAUUAUCACAUAUGGAAACUUAGCAUCUUAGGCUUAGCUGGUGCCUGAACUGUAAGAUUUAAAUAAUUUCAUGGCAGAAGAUUUAAAUAUAUUUGUGAACGCACGA